rnacentral:rRNA from 1 species
UACGGAGGGUGCAAGCGUUAUCCGGAUUUACUGGGCUUAAAGGGUGCGUAGGUGGGUAGGUAAGUCAGUGGUGAAAUCUUCGGGCUUAACCCGGAAACUGCCAUUGAUACUAUUUAUCUUGAAUACUUUGGAGGUAAGCGGAAUAUGUCAUGUAGCGGUGAAAUGCUUAGAUAUGACAUAGAACACCAAUUGCGAAGGCAGCUUACUACACAGUUAUUGACACUGAGGCACGAAAGCGUGGGGAGCAAACAGG